CACUGUGGUCUAGCGGUUAGAACGCUGGCCUUGUAAUCCUGGGGUCUCGGGUUCGAUUCCCGGCGGUG
rfam:Zootermopsis nevadensis contig7745, whole genome shotgun sequence.